rnacentral:rRNA from 1 species
GAUGAACGCUGGCGGCGUGCCUAAUACAUGCAAGUCGAGCGAACGGACGAGAAGCUUGCUUCUCUGAUGUUAGCGGCGGACGGGUGAGUAACACGUGGAUAACCUACCUAUAAGACUGGGAUAACUUCGGGAAACCGGAGCUAAUACCGGAUAAUAUUUUGAACCGCAUGGUUCAAAAGUGAAAGACGGUCUUGCUGUCACUUAUAGAUGGAUCCGCGCUGCAUUAGCUAGUUGGUAAGGUAACGGCUUACCAAGGCAACGAUGCAUAGCCGACCUGAGAGGGUGAUCGGCCACUCUGGAAGUGAGACACGGUCCAGACUCCUACGGGAGGCAGCGGUAGGGAAUCUUCCGCGAUGGGCGAAAGCCUGACGGAGCAACGCAGCGUGAGUGAUGAAGGGCUUCGGAUCGUAAAACUCUGUUAUUAGGGAAGAACAUAUGUGUAGUAACUGUGCACAUCUUGACGGUACCUAAUCAGAAAGCCACGGCUAACUACGUG